rnacentral:rRNA from 1 species
CAAUAGCGUAUAUUAAAGUUGUUGCAGUUAAAAAGCUCGUAGUUGGAUUUCUGGUAGGAGUGACCGUUCCGAACUUGAUUGUUCGUGUAUUGUGUUUUCUCCAGCCAUCCUUGUGGAGAACUUUUCUUGCAUUAAUUUGUAGGGAUUGGGACCCGCAUCGUUUACUGUGAAAAAAUUAGAGUGUUUAAAGCAGGCAAUCGCUUGAAUACAUUAGCAUAGAAUAAUAAGAUAGGACUUUGGUACUAUUUUGUUGGUUUGCAUACCAAAUUAAUGAUCAACAGGAACAGUUUGAGGAUAUUCGUAUGAACAUGUCAGAGGUGAAAUUCUUGGAUUUUGAUCAGACGAACUACUGCGAAAGCAUUUAUCAAGGAUGUUUUCAUUAA